GCCGCCUUAGCUCAGUAGGUAGAGCGCUUCCAUGGUAAGGAAGAGGUCGUCGGUUCAAAUCCGACAGGUGGCU
rnacentral:tRNA from 3 species